AACGAACGCUGGCGGCAUGUUUAACACAUGCAAGUCGAACGAAGCCUUCGGGCUUAGUGGCGCACGGGUGCGUAACGCGUGGGAAUCUGCCCUUAGGUACGGAAUAACUCAGGGAAACUUGUGCUAAUACCGUAUGAUGUCGCGAGACCAAAGAUUUAUCGCCUAGGGAUGAGCCCGCGUUGGAUUAGCUAGUUGGUGAGGUAAAGGCUCACCAAGGCGACGAUCCAUAGCUGGUCUGAGAGGAUGAUCAGCCACACUGGGACUGAGACACGGCCCAGACUCCUACGGGAGGCAGCAGUAGGGAAUUUUCCACAAUGGACGAAAGUCUGAUGGAGCAACGCCGCGUGCAGGAUGAAUGCCUUCGGGUUGUAAACUGCUUUUAUCUGUGACGAAUAUGACGGUAGCAGAUGAAUAAGGAUCGGCUAACUCCGUGCCAGCAGCCGCGGUAAU
rnacentral:rRNA from 1 species